UACGUAGGUGGCAAGCGUUAUCCGGAAUUAUUGGGCGUAAAGCGCGCGCAGGCGGUCCUUUAAGUCUGAUGUGAAAGCCCACGGCUCAACCGUGGGGGGUCAUUGGAAACUGGGGGACUUGAGUGCAGAAGAGGAGAGCGGAAUUCCACGUGUAGCGGUGAAAUGCGUAGAGAUGUGGAGGAACACCAGUGGCGAAGGCGGCUCUCUGGUCUGUAACUGACGCUGAGGCGCGAAAGCGUGGGGAGCGAACAGG
rnacentral:rRNA from 1 species